UGCGUAGGUGGCAGAACAAGUCUGGAGUAAAAGGUAUGGGCUCAACCCGUACUGGCUCUGGAAACUGUUCAGCUAGAGAACAGAAGAGGACGGCGGAACUCCAUGUGUAGCGGUAAAAUGCGUAGAUAUAUGGAAGAGCACCGGUGGCGAAGGCGGCCGUCUGGUCUGUUGCUGACACUGAAGCACGAAAGCGUGGGGAGCAAAUA
rnacentral:rRNA from 1 species